GAUGAACGCUGGCGGCGUGCCUAAUACAUGCAAGUCGGGCGAACGGACGAGAAGCUUGCUUCUCUGAUGUUAGCGGCGGACGGGUGAGUAACACGUGGAUAACCUACCUAUAAGACUGGGAUAACUUCGGGAAACCGGAGCUAAUACCGGAUAAUAUUUUGAACCGCAUGGUUCAAAAGUGAAAGACGGUCUUGCUGUCACUUAUAGAUGGAUCCGCGCUGCAUUAGCUAGUUGGUAAGGUAACGGCUUACCAAGGCAACGAUGCAUAGCCGACCUGAGAGGGUGAUCGGCCACACUGGAACUGAGACACGGUCCAGACUCCUACGGGAGGCAGCAGUAGGGAAUCUGCCGCAAUGGGCGAAAGCCUGACGGAGCAACGCCGCGUGAGUGAUGAAGGUCUUCGGAUCGUAAAACUCUGUUAUUAGGGAAGAACAUAUGUGUAAGUAACUGUGCACAUCUUGACGGUACCUAAUCAGAAAGCCACGGCUAACUACGUG
rnacentral:rRNA from 1 species